UCCCAGUCAGGAUACGCGGGUGGCCAGGGA
rnacentral:piRNA from 1 species